rnacentral:rRNA from 3 species
GACGAACGCUGGCGGCGUGCUUAACACAUGYAAGUCGAACGAGUGGCGAACGGGUGAGUAACACGUGAGUAACCUGCCCCCUUCUUUGGGAUAACGCCCGGAAACGGGUGCUAAUACUGGAUAUUGAAAGCUGGUGGGGGAUGGGCUCGCGGCCUAUCAGCUUGUUGGUGGGGUGAUGGCCUACCAAGGCUUUGACGGGUAGCCGGCCUGAGAGGGUGACCGGUCACAUUGGGACUGAGAUACGGCCCAGACUCCUACGGGAGGCAGCAGUGGGGAAUAUUGCACAAUGGGCGCAAGCCUGAUGCAGCGACGCCGCGUGAGGGAUGGAGGCCUUCGGGUUGUGAACCUCUUUCGCUCAUGGUCAUGAGGGUAGUGGGUAAAGAAGCGCCGGCUAACUACGUGCCAGCAGCCGCGGUAAUACGUAGGGCGCGAGCGUUGUCCGGAAUUAUUGGGCGUAAAGGGCUUGUAGGCGGUUGGUCGCGUCUGCCGUGAAAUCCUCUGGCUUAACUGGGGGCGUGCGGUGGGUACGGGCUGACUUGAGUGCGGUAGGGGAGACUGGAACUCCUGGUGUAGCGGUGGAAUGCGCAGAUAUCAGGAAGAACACCGGUGGCGAAGGCGGGUCUCUGGGCCGACUGACGCUGAGGAGCGAAAGCGUGGGGAGCGAACAGGAUUAGAUACCCUGGUAGUCCACGCUGUAAACGUUGGGCACUAGGUGUGGGGGUUUCUGCGCCGUAGCUAACGCUUUAAGUGCCCCGCCUGGGGAGUACGGCCGCAAGGCUAAAACUCAAAGGAAUUGACGGGGGCCCGCACAAGCGGCGGAGCAUGCGGAUUAAUUCGAUGCAACGCGAAGAACCUUACCAAGGCUUGACAUGUGCAGGUGGUGCAUGGUUGUCGUCAGCUCGUGUCGUGAGAUGUUGGGUUAAGUCCCGCAACGAGCGCAACCCUUGCCCUAUGUUGCCAGCACGUGGGGACUCGUGGGGGACUGCCGGGGUUAACUCGGAGGAAGGUGGGGAUGACGUCAAAUCAUCAUGCCCCUUAUGUCUUGGGCUUCACGCAUGCUACAAUGGUUGGCAGAGGGUUGCGAUACUGUGAGGUGGAGCGAAUCCCUUCCAGUCUCAGUUCGGAUGGGGUCUGCAACUCGACCCCAGAAGGUGGAGUCGCUAGUAAUCGCAGAUCAGCAACGCUGCGGUGAAUACGUUCUCGGGCCUUGUACACACCGCCCGUCACGUCACGAAAGUUGGUAACACCCGAAGCCCAUGCCUAGGGAGUGGUCGAAGGUGGGAUUGGCGAUUGGGACGAAGUCGUAACAAGGUAGCCGUACCGGAAGGUGC